GCGCGUACGGUGCGGACACGUGUGCACCUGCCUUUAUCUGGGGGAUAGCUUUCGAAAGAGAUUAUACCCAUAUAUGUGAUGGCUCAUUCGACACUGAAAACUCCGGUGAUAAGAUGGCCGCGCAAAUAAUAUUGUGAGGUACGGGGUCACCACUCUUCACUUUGGGGGCCGGAAAGGGUUUUCCCCCCCCUGGUUCUGGAACACGGCCAAAUCCUAAGGGGGGCACGUGGAGGAUUUUUGGGCCAAUGGGUGAGAGCUGAUCCAGCCAUCCCGCGUGAAGGAAGACUGCCUAUGGGUUGUAAAACUUCUUUUGUAUAGGGAUAAACCUAACCUCGGUGGAGGUAGCUGAAGUACUAUACGAAUAAGCACCGGUAACUCCGUGCCAGCAGCCGCGGUAAUACGAGGGUGCAAAACGUUAUCCCGGGAAUUUAUUGGGGUUAAAAGGGUCGGUAGCGGAUCUGUAAGUCAGUGGUGAAAUCUCACAGUUAACUGUGAAACUGNCAUUGAUACUGCGAGGUCUUGAGUGUUGUUGAAGUAGCUGGAAUAAGUAGUGUACGGUGAAAUGCUAGAUUUACUUAGAACACCAAUUGGGAAAGGAGG
rnacentral:rRNA from 1 species